rnacentral:tRNA from 2 species
GUUACUUUGGUCUAAUGGUAAAGACGGCUGGGUCCAAUCUGCAGAUCUGGGUUCGAUUCCUAGAAGUAACA